rnacentral:rRNA from 1 species
UACACUCCUACGGGAGGCAGCAGUGGGGAAUUUUGGACAAUGGGCGAAAGCCUGAUCCAGCAAUGCCGCGUGAGUGAAGAAGGCCUUCGGGUUGUAAAGCUCUUUUGUCAGGGAAGAAACGGUGAAAGCUAAUAUCUUUUGCUAAUGACGGUACCUGAAGAAUAAGCACCGGCUAACUACGUGCCAGCAGCCGCGGUAAUACGUAGGGUGCAAGCGUUAAUCGGAAUUACUGGGCGUAAAGCGUGCGCAGGCGGUUUUGUAAGUCUGAUGUGAAAUCCCCGGGCUCAACCUGGGAAUUGCAUUGGAGACUGCAAGGCUAGAAUCUGGCAGAUGGGGGGAGAAUUCCACGUGUAGCAGUGAACUGCGUAGAUAUGUGGAGGAACACCGAUGGCGAAGGCAGCCCCCUGGGUCAAGAUUGACGCUCAUGCACGAAAGCGUGGGGAGCAAACAGGAUUAGAAACCCUUGUAGUCCC